AGUGGCAUUGCAAUGGGGCUGUUUUCUAGCUCAACUGUAGUCACUUCCUAGCCUUGGGUCCAUAGGCAGGCAUCCUGGCCUGGCCCGUCCUGUUCCAACAGAGGCACUGGGUGCUGCAGCUGCCCAGGCCUGGCCCUGGAGAGCCCCCGCUGCUGCUUGCGUGCAGAAAAUAUACCUAUUUAUCAACAUUACAGAAGAAGUAGAAAGCUUACCAGAUGUCUGUGAAAAAAUCUUACAGUGAAGAGGACCGAGGUGGUCAGCUCUAAUAUUUCUGUAGCGCUGCUCUGAUACACCAGGAGCUCUGCUGUAUUCAGUGAAGCAUGUUGAGCAUGCUGAAAGUUGACCUUAGGAAUAAAUGUUUUGCUGAGUAAGGGAGAUGCUCUGAACUGCAGCCAGAAUUUUAUAUUCUGCAAAUCUAUGCUCUACCCAUGGUGCUGGUUUUCCUAAUACAGAAUUAAAAAUCUCACACAUCUCUGAAGGGAAUAUCCAGUCUUUCAUCAGUUAUAAUGCAACUACUUCCUGCAAGUUGACUCUUUGGUACUCUUUGUAUAUGCUGAGCACAGCCCAGACCUUGUUAAAUUCUUCUAGCAAGAUGAGGGAAAGGAUCUUUCCGAUGGUUCUUAGAGAUUUUGCUGUCACAUGCUUUUCAGCUUUCACACAGGCUUGAUCCUUAAGUACCAUUGACUUCAGUAAAGAUAUACUGUUGGAGACACUGAGAUAUCACCAUAAAGACUGAAUACUACUUGCUUUUACAGCAAGAGCUCAACUUGUGGAAAGAUCUGGCAUUGGAAUGAAAACCAGAGUAUCUGCCACACAGUUUUCAAGAUCUUUUCCACAUUAAGCAUAUGUUUUCAGAGGAUUUCCAAGUAAAUAUGUUAAUUUUUUUAAUGUGUGUUUCUAUGUACAUGUGAUUAUUUUUGGACUUUAAUCAUGUAAUCGUGACUUCUAUAUACAGUACCUAUAACUUCGGCUUCUGAAAAAGUUCCCAUUCUAGAAGGCAAUUCCUUGUUUUUUGAAAUAAGUCUGAUAGAUUUAUUUAUUUAUUUAUUUGAAUUAUCCAUUGCCUACUUUAUGCUUUUCACAAAGAUAUUUUAGUUGAUCUAAAACUGUGGAAUAGCAUCAUCUGAUGUGACACUCUGUGAAGCCAUCUGGAUUCUUUUCACUGACCCAUUAGGAGUACCACUAAGUAAAAUAACAUACAAAGCCAUGGGUUAUAUUUCUGAGAUUUAGAAGUCUAGGCUCAAAUCUGACAAAGGCAAGCUUACUUUUGUUUCGCAUCCACACAGAUAAAAAGAAAACAACAGAAGUCCCCUGGCUUUGAUGUGCAUUCAAUUUUGGUAUUGCUAUUAAACUGGUGCUGGAUUAGGGGAACAGGAAAGGAGCAGAACUUUGAUUUAUGAUUUUAUCCUUGAUUUUAAAUUCCUGCUGAAGGCUUCAUCUCCUUUGCUCUAGCAUUAAGUGAAUAUCUGAGUCUUUGGGAAAAGGGUUAAUUUCAUGAAGCAAUCCACUUAUUUUUGGAAGUGGUUUUAAAAAUCGUCAUGUCUUUUUUUUUUAAACUGAGGAAAGGUUGAUAGAGCAUUUAGGCAUGAUAUGGACUUGUAAUCAAUGUGUCAAGCUGGCAGGGGGAGAUAAUGUCUACAGACAUCACGUGGUGUCAGUUGUUCACUGUUUUAGUAUGUAAGACUGAUGUUUCUCAUGUUAUUAUGUGGUAUCUUUCCACUAGCUCCAUGUGGAUGUCUUUUGUCCCUCCACAUUUCUUUUCCUUGUAACAAAACACAACUUUCUGGGCACCCAUCUAGCCUAACAGAAGCUCAGCUAGCUUUAAAUUGCAUAUAUGACUUUCCUUUACAUACAGUGUACAGUCUUUACUAACAUCCUCUUAUUUCCUAUGUUGAGGUAAACUCACAUCAGACAAUUUAUACUUUUAUUAUAGGACUUGUACUGAAGAUAACUUGAUAAAGAAAAGUAAAAUGUAUGUGGAUCUCACAUCCUGUCACAUAGUGUUUGAAGGGCUUCAGAGAAAAUAGUUAAAGGGCUGGGUAAUCUUCAAGAACUAAAAAAUACAUGUAAGAAUGGUGAAGGAAAAUGCUUUUAUAUUAUUUGCAAUCUGACCUUCUGCUUUAUAGUUGUGACCAGACGAUCCUGAAAGCAUUAUAUCUUCUAGUAAUGUGCUUUGAGAAAUAAUUACACUUGUUCAGCUGGUAUUUUGUCAUUACUCUUCUUGAUCUGUAGUGCUGGGAUAGUAGUGGAUUAAUGCUAGAAUAAUGUGUUUAAUGAAUUUCUGGGUGUGAUUACAACAACUUCACUUGCUGCCCUCCCAAACAAGAUUUCAUAGCAUGUGCAGGUGGCGCAGAACCCUCUUGUCAGGAGGCUGUUGUUGCUCACAUUACCUCUGCAUUUGGGUCCUCUUUGUUAUUGUUUAGGAACUUCUUACUAAGCAAUGUAUUGAUGGUAAAUUUGCUCUUAUUUCAGUGUCCCUGACUGUUUGUUUUUCUAUCUGGUGAAUGCAGUUGCUUUCUCUGGUCUCUAAAAGUAUUCUAAAACUUCAACUACCCUAAAAUGACUCUUACACAACAUUGAUACUCUUUUUCUUGCCUUCUCUGGAGAAUACACCUCUGCUCAGGGUGCCUUGGAAUUAGUGGUGGAUAAAAAUCAACGUAUGAUACUUCACAUAUAAAAUGUUCGUAUCCAGAUUAUUUUGCCCUCUGACUCUGUCAGAUUCUGUUACUCAAGAGGAAUGUUGCUGAAGGCAUCACUGAUAAAUUCAUCAUCAAAAUUUACUUGAUUUAUCGAAUUUUCAGAAGUUCAAUUCUUAAGUUUGUUUUAUAACUUUAAAAGGUUGAUUUAUGAUGCAAAUUGGAAAUGCUCAGUUUUAAAUAAUAGCACAAUGUCAUUUCACUGUAUGUUGUUACUUGCAUCUAACCUUAUGAAAACACAGAUAUUGACACAGAUGGAAAAAUAAUCAUAACCCUAUUGUUAUCAAAAUGCCUUAAUAUAUUUUCAGAGGGGAUUUCCCAUUUUGCUAUAGGUGUGGUUGCACUUUUCCAAGUUUAAUAAUGACAGCAAUGAGAGCCAAAGUAUUUAUAGCACCCUUACAUAGGGGUGUAUAUUUGGAACACUUGGAGUGUAUGUGUGCCUUUUCAGGGAAUCUUCUAGAACAAGUACUCAUUAAUCCAUGAGAUUUGGCUCACAGGUUUACUGUUUACUUCCUUUGAAAGAAGAUGGUGCUAUUUCUGCUCUCCCUGAGGGUUAUAUUGACUUCUGCAGGGUUUCUGGUUUGCUUGUGGCUGAGGGCCCUGAAGUUCUCCCUCCCCUGUGCAAGUGGCACGCGUCAAUUCCCCAGCGCCUCUUGGCUCAUGUCGCAUGCAGAGACAUCGUGCAGCCUGGCUAAAUACUAGCUGUUUGGCUAGUGUUUGGGUCAGUAUUACUGGGAGUUAAAAUGAAGGGAUAAAACACUGAACAGUACAGGCUGCAAUUUCCAGAGUGCCUGUGCUUGUGAAUCAGAGCCUCACCUAUGCAAGGCUUCUGUUUAUAUGUUUUAUUUCUCUGUUUUCAUUUAAAAUGAAUAAAACUUAGACACAUGGCUCAAGAAAUAGAGAACUGAAUUAGUGAAGUCCUGCUGAGUAGGUGAUGUCUGAACCCCUGGAUAGCAAAUGAAAUGAAAAGUACUUUCUGCUUUAAGUAGUAAAGAAUUUUAUCUCUCUUUUAAAAACUCUAUAAACACAUCCAUCAGGCAGUCUGACAGAGAAAUUAAAUUGGUUUACAGCACUGCAAGAAGUCCGGAUUAGGUUCCUGCUGAGCAGUAACAAAUUGUGGUGAACUUUAUAAAAAGCUUCUUUCUGUUUUUCACAAGGUAAUGCAGUCUAGAGCUAGUCAGUGAUUGCAAGAGCAACUGGGGAGACUUCUGGAAAAGCUUGGUGUUCCUCAAUAAGGAAAUUAAAUUAAAUAGAUAUGAGUUUUCUUUCCUUUCUUGAGUUUCUACACAAGAAGUGUUUGUGUUCUGCACUCUUUUUUUGAUAACACCAAAUUUGCACAAGCAUCAACUUGCUUUAUUCACGGCAAAAUGGAAAAAGUAUUGUUUUCCUGAUCAUGGGAUAGUAAACUUUCUCACCUGUUUGCGGUGGUCACUAUUAACUUCCAAUAAACGUGAUAAGAGAUGUGGCUAUUCUGCUGGAGGUCACAAUGGGACUUUAAUUUUUCCCCAGUGAAUUUUACCUGAAUAGUCAAAGAAUGCAUUAAUCCAAAUCACCUGAUGUGUGCAUUUCAAGUAGACCGGUGUUUCAGUAAUCUGUCCUAAUCUUCCAUUUAUUUAGAGAGGAGCUAUUACAUGCAACCAGGAUCCAGGUGCUUUUCAACUUAGUAAUGCUCAUUUCUAGAACCGUAGCCUAUCUUUGUCUCUCUUAUCUCUCCAUCCUGGCUCUGAAUACCCUCCAACUUCAGGCAACUUCAGAUCCAUCUCUAAUGGCAAUGAAAAGCUAUGAAUUCUUGAAAACAGGUCCAGAGAUGUUUUCAAGCUUUGUGAACUUCAGCCAGCCAUUCCAUUAAUGUGUUAUUUUUUUAACCAAAUCUGAAACAGGGAAAGGUUUCUGGUGUUAGGUUGUUUUGCAUCCUCCUGAAAGGCUGUGUAUUCAUAUGAAAAAUUAAUAUCAAUUGUUUAUACAUUUGCAUGUAUCUAGGUACGAAUGAUCAAGUAAAACUUCUAGUAUGUGUGACUGUACAUGUUUCCAACAAAAAUAAAUUUACUCUGUUCAUCUUUUUCUCUCCCAGCACGGUUGCAUUUAGCUAUACUGCUUAGGCUGUUUUUGAGCAACACCUGUGCAUUCUUAAAUGAAAAAAAAAAAAGCGGGGUGGUGUAAAAAUUCCCUUUCAUUUGGAUGUUCCUGUUAGUGUGAGCCUUAAAAGCCAUUGCUCUCCAAAUAUCUUGUUUAUAUGGAAGUUAAGCUACCUUUUAAAAAUAGAUACAAAUGAAUGCAACUAAAGUUAA